rnacentral:rRNA from 1 species
GCCCCUACGGGAGGCUGCAGUAGGGAAUAUUGGGCAAUGGGCGCAAGCCUGACCCAGCCAUGCCGCGUGAAGGAAGACGGCCUUAUGGGUUGUAAACUUCUUUACUAUGCGAAUAGAGGUUAGUACGAGAUACUAAUAGGAAGGUAGCAUAGAAAAAAGCACCGGCUAACUCCGUGCCAGCAGCCGCGGUAAUACGGAGGGUGCAAGCGUUAUUCGGAAUUACUGGGUUUAAAGGGUGCGUAGGCGGUUAAAUAAGUUGUCAGUGAAAGGCUACGGCUCAACUGUAGUAGUGCUGGCGAUACUGUAUAACUAAGAACAUGGGAGGGGUACCUGGAAUGUGUGGUGUAGCGGUGAAAUGCGUAGAUAUCACACAGAACACCGGAGGCGAAGGCGGGGUACUAGACCAUAGUUGACGCUGAGGCACGAAAGCGUGGGGAUCAAACAGGAUUAGAUACCCGAGUAGUCG